rnacentral:rRNA from 1 species
AGGACGAACGCUGGCGGCAUGCCUAACACAUGCAAGUCGAACGAGACCUUCGGGUCUAGUGGCGCACGGGUGCGUAACGCGUGGGAAUCUGCCCUUAGGUACGGAAUAACAGUGAGAAAUUACUGCUAAUACCGUAUGAUGUCUUCGGACCAAAGAUUUAUCGCCUAGGGAUGAGCCCGCGUAGGAUUAGCUAGUUGGUGGGGUAAAGGCCUACCAAGGCGACGAUCCUUAGCUGGUCUGAGAGGAUGAUCAGCCACACUGGGACUGAGACACGGCCCAGACUCCUACGGGAGGCAGCAGUGGGGAAUAUUGGACAAUGGGCGAAAGCCUGAUCCAGCAAUGCCGCGUGAGUGAAGAAGGCCUUCGGGUUGUAAAGCUCUUUUACCCGGGAAGAUAAUGACUGUACCGGGAGAAUAAGCCCGGCUAACUCCGUGCCAGCAGCCGC